rnacentral:lncRNA from 1 species
GCCUGGCGCGUCCGCCGAGCGCGGGGGUUUGUUUAUUUUCGCGGUUGGUAGCGGCGCUGGCGCUGGUUAGAGGUUCGCCGGUGACGUGAGCGCCCGAGUUGGGGGAGAGGACCAGAACCACCUGCUGGAGAAGGGGAGCUACGGGGGCCGGGCAGGGUCCAAACGCCUCACGUAGGCGGCGGCGCCACGGUCUUCGGGGUCACAGGGAAGAGAAGGGCUCUCCUCAAGCGGGUGGAAGGAGGGAGGCCUCCCGAGGGAGUGAGACUCUAGGCCACUCCCCCGCAGCAAGGCAGGAUCACCUGCGACGCGGAGAGCGGUUAGAGGGCCCUGGAGUGGAAAAGGGCAGUGGGACCUGGUAGCUUGGGUUCCCUGCAACUUGGGGUUCGACCUCCAGGCAAUGAAGUAGGGAUGGUCCUGCAAGUCAAGAUUCCAGUAGCAAGAGUGCAUCAGAUCUCUGUCGUAGUGGACUAAUUUUACAGGCGAAGUUAAGUGACUUACCCAAAACCUCACAGCUAAUAAACGGCAGAGCCGGCACCCAGCUGUACUGGCUUCCAAUUCUGUUAGCUUACCAGCGCAUCACAUUAUCUCCAUAAAUCCCCAUGAUUCAACUAAUAUUAGACGCCCCACAGGUAAGAUGCUUCAGAGUUAGAGGGGAGUUGAAGAUACCUUUGCCUUCAAAGAAGUAAGGAAUAAAACAAAGAUAAAACAGACAAUAAAAGACAAACCAUGAUAGGUGCCACGUGAAAAGUGGCAGAGUACUGCCGGGAAUCAAAGAACCGUGUAUAUCUGUCUUGGGGAUAAGGAAAGAAAGGCAGCAUGAAGGAGUAGGCAUUUGGGAUUGACCUUGAAGGAGACAGGGAGAGUUUUACAGCAAGCAGGGAUAGCAUGAGAAUAUAUAUGAAGGCGAAUCAGUGAAAGUUGUGUUGGGGAAAGAGCAAAGACUCCAGGGUAUGUUGAGAGGUAGAAAAGACAAAGGAGUAUGGGGCCUAAGAUACCAAAUGGAUGAAUUUAUAUUUAAUUCAGUAUUUUGAGUUUUUAUGGUUCAGAAGUUUGGGGGAAGAAAAGGAAGGUUUUUUUUUUUCUUUGUGCUAGUGAUUUAUCUGUGAGGGGAAGCAGAAAUCAGAGGUGGAAAAACGGACAGAUCUACUGUAGGCCAGGUAAAAAUGAUGAGUCUGACCUAAAGGGACAGCUAGGGGAAUUUAAAAGAGCAUAGUUGAGAGAUGAUGUGCAUGCAGUAUCUAUAGAAUUUGGCAACUGAUUGAUUAAUUGUGGGUAGGAAGAGAGAAAUCAAAGAAAGUGGAGGUUUUGAGUUUGUAGAUAAUUGCAAGAGAGAAAAGAGACAAUUACAAAGGAGAGGGAGCUACUUCUUGAGAGAUCAGUUUAGAUUUGGACAUUUUAAGAAUUCAAAGGGUUGUCAAGACAGCCAGAGAGACAUGGACACUAAUAAGUUAGAAAUAAAGGUUUUGUAAUAUGGGAAAGAGGACUGAACUAGAAAAUAGACUCAUAAAUAAUCAGCCUAGGAGUGAUAUUGCUGUGAGAUAAAAGAAGAAAACAAAGGUCAGAAUCUUGGAAAACACCCUCUUUAGAGUCUCGCUACUCAAAACGUGGUCAGUGGCCCAGCAGCACUGACAUGAGGAUGUUAGUUAGAAACUCAGAAUCUCAGGCUCCACCCCAGACCUGCUGAACCAGCAUCUUCAACUUAACAAGAACCCGAAGAGAUUUGUGUCACAUCAAAAAGUUUGAGAAGCUCUGAUCUAGGUGAGCCAAGCCAGCAAAGAAAGGGGAUGGAGCAGAAAAUGGGAGGAGAAUAGGGUAACGCAGAAUCAUCAAGACAAGGUAAAUUGGAGUUUCACAAAAACAGGGCUGGAAGGAGUGUUGCUCAACAAUAUCCAAAACCACAGAGGUUGAAAAGCACAAGGAAAGAAGGUAUGUUUGCACUUUGUGAUUAGGUAGUAGGGUCUUUGAGACCACAUUGUUCUUAUUGAAAGCCUGGGAAGAAAGAUCCCCUUUCUGGUCAAGUUUAGUCUAGGGAUCCAUCCCAUCUUCCCCAGUUCCCACGUGUAUGGGACAUGUCGAGAUAAGUAGAUAGAUUGGACAGUGGGAGAAAGUAGUUCUCUUCCAGUUGCUUCUAUUUUCUCAGCAAAGUGAGGAGCAAGAUCAUUUUGGCAGACUGCUAAUUGUCCAUCACAAUUUAGUCUCCCUUUCUCCCUGAAAACACAGACUGCUUUUCUCAGCCUCUCUUUCAGUUGCAUAUGGUCAAGUAUUAAGUUAUAGAACGUGAGCAGAUGUUAUGUCUGCCACUGUCAGGCCAAGGCGUUUACUUUGAGAGUACUUGUGCCUCUUUCAUGCAUUUUCCUUUCUGCCAGCUGGACCCUGGACACGGUGACUCUGAUUCAAUUAUGCAGAUGACCACAAACCUCUGGGGUUGGCAGAGCCACAAGAAAGAAGGUGCCUGGAUGAAGGAGAGCUACCCACUGACCUGGACACCCAAUUAUAGGAUAGACAGUGAAGUGCAACUACAGCCCGCAAAUGAAAAUGAAUAAUAUUAAUCCAGCCCCUCAAGGCAGGCGAGUAGCUGCUGUCAUCUGUCUUAGAGCUAUUGGAAUCCUGGAUCAUUGUGGGAAAUGAAAGGAACUGGUUUUUAGCAAGGAGACCAAGAAACUCUACUCCCUAGGGGCUAGCAAUGAGAGAAAGGAAGCCUUAAGUCUUUGAGCACAGGGUGACAGUUUGGGUCCUAUGUGAGAUGAUCAAAUCCACAGCAACAGAGGAAAGGACAAAAGGAAAAGAUACUUCGAUGGAAUCAGCAGCCAUUGAUCCAAUGCCAACUCCAAGACUGGAACGUCGCAAUGAUAGUUCCAAGGCGGAAAUUUGACGUAAUUCUUUUCGACACAGUUUUACAGGCAUCUUGCAUGUGAAUAACUCACAACUUUAAUUCAUGGAACAAAUUGAGAAAUAGUCUUUUGGGGGUUUGGUACUCCCUGGAAACAUAAGAGUGCUUUGGGCACCUCUGGUGCCUUUCCAUGCCUGCCUUCUCUGCUGUUCUUGCUACUAGUGAAUUCUAAAUCAUGGCCAAGUGAUGCCAGCACUGGAUAAUAUUGGCUCUGCCCCAUAUCUCGAGGGAAAACUCUAGGACUUGGCAUUAUAUGUGUGGGAAUCUGGCCUUGGUUGGCACUCCCAGCAUGAUAGCGGGGUUCUCCUGUCUGAAUGUACUCUGGGGUGUGCGCCACAAUUUCUGUCAUCGAAAUGGAGAUGAGAGAAUAUGCCCUUGGUGGGGACACCCCACUGGAAUUAGAGUGAAGAGAUCAAAGCUAGAGGUUCUUAAAUCAAAGAAUAUCUAAUAGCAAAGACAAAAACUUGCUUAAGGGAAAUGCAUACAAGUACUAGACCUAAUAUGAUGAAAAAUGCCAACUUCAAUAUAUUGAUGCAUGCUUAGUACACUUUCAGUCCUGCAAAGACAAAGUUUUUUGUUGUUUUUUUUUUGAGACGGAGUCUCGCUCUGUCGCCCAGGUUGGAGUGC